rnacentral:tRNA from 1 species
GCUUCUAUAGUUUAACGGUAGAACACUUGACUUGUAAUCAAGGAGCGAAGGUUCGAUUCCUUUUAGAAGCA